rnacentral:rRNA from 1 species
UAGGGAAUCUUCCGCAAUGGGCGAAAGCUUGACGGAGCAACGCCGCGUGAGUGAUGAAGGUCUUCGGAUCGUAAAACUCUGUUAUUAGGGAAGAACAAAUGUGUAAGUAACUAUGCACGUCUUGACGGUACCUAUCAGAAAGCCACGGCUAACUACGUGCCAGCAGCCGCGGUAAUACGUAGGUGGCAAGCGUUAUCCGGAAUUAUUGGGCGUAAAGCGCGCGUAGGCGGUUUUUUAAGUCUGAUGUGAAAGCCCACGGCUCAACCGUGGAGGGUCAUUGGAAACUGGAAAACUUGAGUGCAGAAGAGGAAAGUGGAAUUCCAUGUGUAGCGGUGAAAUGCGCAGAGAUAUGGAGGAACACCAGUGGCGAAGGCGACUUUCUGGUCUGUAACUGACGCUGAUGUGCGAAAGCGUGGGGAUCAAACAGG